rnacentral:lncRNA from 1 species
CAAUAAUAUCACGUACAUAUGUAUAUGCACAUUAUCACGUAGACAUGUAGAUUCACAUUCUUUUUUGAAGGUAAAAAAUAAAUUACAGAUCUACUAAAAGACAUUAUAUAAGAAGGAGAUACAUCUCCCAUACACAUACCAAAGGAAAGUCGAAUUAAAAUGAAACAAAGAAUGGUCAUGGCAUAUAAUGAGGAACAAAGAUAAAGAAAAACAAAAGGCAAAAAGUCAUUAAUAAACGACAU